rnacentral:miRNA from 1 species
CGGGCGUGGUGGAGAGGG